rnacentral:SRP_RNA from 1 species
GCCGGGCGUGGUGGCGGGCGCCUGUAGUCCCAGCUACUCGGAGGCUGAGGCGGGAGAAUGGCGUGAACCCAGGAGGUGGAGCUUGCAGUGAGCCGAGAUCGCGCCACUGCGCUCCAGCCUGGGCGACAGAGCAAGACUCCGUCUCAA